rnacentral:lncRNA from 1 species
UCAAAGACUUUGAACCAAGGUCCAACAUUUCAGCUUAUGGAGACAAUGACAUUGAUGUAAAAGAAAAGAAUGGAGCCAUUAAAGAUUUUGAACCUAGACCUAAUAUUUCAGCUUAUGGAGAAAAUGUCAUUGAUGCUGAUGAAAAGAAGAAACCAGUCAAAGAUUUUGAACCAAGACCCAAUAUUUCAGCUUAUGGAGACAAUGACAUUGAUGUUAAGGAAAAUAAGGGAGCCACCAACGAUUUUGAGCCAAGACCCAACAUUUCAGCUUAUGGAGACAAUGUCAUUGAUGAUAAUAAAAUGAAGAAACCAGUUGAAUAUUUCCAACCAAGACCAAACAUUUCAGCUUAUGGAGAAAAUGACAUUGAUGUUAAAAAAAGUAAAGAUUUUGAACCAAGACCCAACAUUUCAGCUUUUGGAGACAAUGACAUUGAUGUUAAUGAAAAGAAGGGAGAUACUAAAGAUUUCGAACCAAGACCAAAUAUUUCAGCUUAUGGAGACAAUGCCAUUGAUGAUGAUGAAAUGAAGAAACCAAUUAAAGAUUUUAAACCAAAACCAAACAUUUCGGCUUAUGGAGACAAUGUCAUUGAUGCUGAUGAAAUGAAGAAACCAGUCGAAGGUUUUGAACCAAGACCAAACAUUUCAACUUAUGGAGACAAUGUCAUUGAUGUUGAUGAAAUGAAGAAACAACAAGUCAAAGAUUUUGAACCAAGAACCAACAUUUCAGCUUAUGGAGACAAUGACAUUGAUGUUAAAGAAAAGAAGGGAGUCACCAACGAUUUUGAGCCAAGACCCAACAUUUCAGCUUAUGGAGACAAUGUCAUUGAUGCUAAUAAAAUGAAGAAACCAGUUGACGAUUUCCAACCAAGACCAACUAUUUCAGCUUAUGGAGACAAUGCCAUUGAU